GACGAACGCUGGCGGCGUGCUUAACACAUGCAAGUCGAACGAAGUGGCGAACGGGUGAGUAACGCGUAAUCAACCUGCCCUUCAGGGGGGGACAACAGUUGGAAACGACUGCUAAUACCGCAUACUGAAGGGGGGGAUUGCGUCGGAUUAGCUAGUUGGGGGGGUAACGGCCCAACAAGGCGAGGAUCAGUAGGCGGUCUGAGAGGAUGAACGGCCACAUUGGGACUGAGACAAGGGCCAGACCCCUACGGGAGGCAGCAGUGGGGAAUCGUUCGAAAUGGACGAAAGGCUGACGGAGCAACGCCGCGGUAGUGAUGACGGCCUUCGGGUUGUAAAGCUCUGUUAAUCGGGACGCGGUACCGGAAUAGAAAGCCACGGCUAACUACGUGCCAGCAGCCGCGGUAAUUC
rnacentral:rRNA from 1 species